CCGCUUACCAUUUAUUAUUUUCUCUUGCAACGUCCAAUAUUUUCUACAUGAGUAACAAGAUUACUACACCCACAUCCAAAUCUCUUCUGCAAUUAUCAUGCAGAUCCCAUCAGAUCGUCGUUACUCGUUACACAAGGCCAUCCGUCCUUGGCACACUAAUCAUCAUGAAUUUAGUUCAUCAGUUGCGUUGUGGUUGGGGAAGGAGGGAUUUGCAAUAAUAGUUGCACUUGCAUCCCUCAGGGACGCAGAUGCCUUCUCCUCUGACGUACUUCUUCAGGCAGUCCGUGUAGCACGUGACCGCUCGGCAUUUGCCGGAGUAGAUCACCUUCGAGCAAUCGUACUGAGGAGGAAUUUGCGCCGCCAAGGCUGUGUAUGUAUGUAAACACAAGGAAAUUCAGGCCAUGGUCAACCAUGUUAGAUUAAUUGCCCAUAACAAAAUCAUAUCAGAUGGAUCGGAAGUAAAUACCUGAGGAUGACACUAGAAGGACAGUGGCUAGAAGAAUUAGCAGUUUAUUCAAAGUCGCCAUGGAUCGUCUCUUGUAGUCAAAGUUGGAACCGAGAAACUCACCAGGGCUUUUUGUUCUGAUGGUACCUUGUCUCUUGG
rnacentral:lncRNA from 1 species